UACGUAGGGUGCAAGCGUUAAUCGGAAUUACUGGGCGUAAAGCGUGCGCAGGCGGUUUUGUAAGUCUGUCGUGAAAUCCCCGGGCUCAACCUGGGAAUGGCGAUGGAGACUGCAAGGCUAGAAUCUGGCAGAGGGGGGUAGAAUUCCACGUGUAGCAGUGAAAUGCGUAGAUAUGUGGAGGAACACCGAUGGCGAAGGCAGCCCCCUGGGCUAAGAUUGACGCUCAUGCACGAAAGCGUGGGGGAGCAAACAGG
rnacentral:rRNA from 1 species